rnacentral:rRNA from 1 species
UGCCAGCCGCCGCGGUAAUACGGAGGGUGCAAGCGUUAUCCGGAUUUAUUGGGUUUAAAGGGUACGUAGGCGGAUAAAUAAGUCAGUGGUGAAAGCCCGAAGCUCAACUUCGGAACUGCCAUUGAUACUGUUUAUCUUGAAUUUGGUUGAAGUGGGCGGAAUAUGACAUGUAGCGGUGAAAUGCAUAGAUAUGUCAUGGAACACCAAUAGUGAAGACAGCUCACUAAGCUACGAUUGACGCUGAGGCACGAAAGCGUGGGGAGCGAACAGGAUUAGAUA